rnacentral:tRNA from 1 species
GGCGAAGUGGACGAAGGGAGUUCCGUAAAACAUACGAAAAGUCGUUUGCACCA